UAACACGGCGACCACUCUGAAACCUGUUGGCGUAAGGUAGGCCUUUCCAGAUUGACGUGGAUACACUAUAGAGAACUGUCCAUAUAUGAAUGGAGCGCCCCGGAGAGACAAUGGACUACCCAACGACCGGGCAUCCAUUUGUGAUGACUACCUACGUCUCAGCUUAAAUGCCUGGAAAUCACACUCAAAUUUUAUCAGUGGCUACACGCUCCGCUUCUCUGCACUAGCCCAAGAUGGGUCCAUCUCCCCUUCCAUCUGCCUGGAUUCACGCCUUCCCUUGCUUUAUUCUUGGGAAACCUGUCCUCAGGAGCCAAAGAUUUGAUCCUUGUAAGGAGUCCCGACGCAGACGCUUUGAACGCAUGAAGGUUGCAGGAUCUGUCCCCAGCUCGGCGGUCCAGAGUUUUGGAGCCGCUCUAUAUCGGUGUAGAUUUGUCUGCCAACAUUUUUAUGUUCUGCUGUUGGUGUGAGGAAUAAAGAACACGUCUAUGUUCUCCCAUA